rnacentral:rRNA from 1 species
GGUUGACCUCGGAUYAGGUAGGGA